GCUCUCGCUUCGGCAGCACAUAUACUAAAAUUGGAACAAUACAGAGAAGAUUAACAUGGCCCCUGCACAAGGAUGACACGCAAAUUCGUGAAAGGAACUCCAAACAA